CCGUAAACGAUGGACAAGUUUACGGGACCAGUACCAAAGGAAAAGAAGAGAAAAGUUCGCUUACAAGCCGAGCGGCACUGGUGGAGGUUGCAGGAUAAAAAAGUGGAAGUUUUAUGAGCUGCUGGAGUCGUUUUUGGAGCCGAGCAUUCCGGCAGCGAAUCCUGCCGGAAAUUUAGAAGACAGCUUUAGUGAGCCUCAAGUUUCUGAACCAAGCUGUUCUGGUGCAGUUUCCCAUGAAGAAGCAUUUAUUGACAUUGAGGCGGAAAGCAUAGCGAAAGGUAGUGUUACUG